rnacentral:rRNA from 1 species
AUUGAACGCUGGCGGCAGGCCUAACACAUGCAAGUCGAACGAGUGGCGGACGGGUGAGUAAUGUCUGGGCAACUGCCCGAUGGAGGGGGAUAACUACUGGAAACGGUAGCUAAUACCGCAUACCAUCGGAUGUGCCCCGAUGGGAGUAGCUUGUGGUUGAGGUAACGGCUCACCGAGGCGACGCACCGUAGCUGGUCUGAGAGGAUGACCAGCCCAACUGGACAUUAGACACGGUCCAGCCUCCUACGGGAGGCAGCAGGGGGGAAUAUUGCACAAUGGGCGCAAGCCUGAUGCAGCCAUGCCGCGUGUAUGAAGAAGGCCUUCGGGUUGUAAAGUACUUUCAGCGGGGAGGCGUUACCCGCAGAAGAAGCACCGGCUAACUCCGUGCCAGCAGCCGCGGUAAUAC